rnacentral:lncRNA from 1 species
GAGGGGUACCCACGGUGGAGGGAGGUGGGAGGCCGAGACGGCCCCGGGGGUCGGCGGAGACCCAGCGGGAGCAGGGGGAAAUCGGAAGAGCUGGGGGCAUGGAGCGGGCGAGUUUGGAGCGGAAUGAGCCGGGAGCCCUACGUUGUGGAAGGAAGACAACAGUAUAGGACCAUCAGCAGGACCGGACAGAGAGGGGCACGGUUUCUCUGUAUAGCCCUGGCUGUCCUGGAACUUGUAGACCAGGCUGGCCUUGAACUCAGAAAUCCGCCUGCCUCUGACUCCCGAGUGCUGAGAUUAAAGGUGUGCACCACCACACCCGACAAGGAAGCCUGUUUUAAGAAGUGAUUCCAUGGAGGAGUUCUGCGGCGGCUCAGGGCUUGACUAAACAGUGGACCUCAGACAAGAGAGGCUAAACCAGGCUGCAGGUGACAGGAAGAAUUGAAUAAACUGAAAGCAAAGGGCAGCCUUCUAAUUACGCUUCGUGGCUAUGUGGACAACCUGGAGAAGUCUGGAAACCCAGCCCCACCCCAUCACAUUCUUACUCCUUCCCUUUCCAAGAAAGAAGCCAGAAGCCCGAAGCCAGCAGUAGAGCUCUGACUGGCUUGUAUGCCUAGAAAGGAAGGGCUCUUCUUUCGCCUCACGGGCACAAAUGGGACCCACGAGCGCCGAUUUCAGACUAUUCUGAUCCCUUCAAAAAGAAAG